AGUCGAACGGCAGCACGGGAGCAAUCCUGGUGGCGAGUGGCGAACGGGUGAGUAAUACAUCGGAACGUGUCCUGUAGUGGGGGAUAGCCCGGCGAAAGCCGGAUUAAUACCGCAUACGCUCUACGGAGGAAAGGGGGGGAUCUUAGGACCUCUCGCUACAGGGGCGGCCGAUGGCAGAUUAGCUAGUUGGUGGGGUAAAGGCCUACCAAGGCGACGAUCUGUAGCUGGUCUGAGAGGACGACCAGCCACACUGGGACUGAGACACGGCCCAGACUCCUACGGGAGGCAGCAGUGGGGAAUUUUGGACAAUGGGCGCAAGCCUGAUCCAGCAAUGCCGCGUGUGUGAAGAAGGCCUUCGGGUUGUAAAGCACUUUUGUCCGGAAAGAAAACCUCCGCCCUAAUAUGGUGGGGGGAUGACGGUACCGGAAGAAUAAGCACCGGCUAACUACGUGCCAGCAGCCGCGGUAAUACGUAGGGUGCAAGCGUUAAUCGGAAUUACUGGGCGUAAAGCGUGCGCAGGCGGUCCGCUAAGACAGAUGUGAAAUCCCCGGGCUUAACCUGGGAACUGCAUUUGUGACUGGCGGGCUAGAGUAUGGCAGAGGGGGGUAGAAUUCCACGUGUAGCAGUGAAAUGCGUAGAGAUGUGGAGGAAUACCGAUGGCGAAGGCAGCCCCCUGGGCCAAUACUGACGCUCAUGCACGAAAGCGUGGGGAGCAAACAGGAUUAGAUACCCUGGUAGUCCACGCCCUAAACGAUGUCAACUAGUUGUCGGGUCUUCAUUGACUUGGUAACGUAGCUAACGCGUGAAGUUGACCGCCUGGGGAGUACGGUCGCAAGAUUAAAACUCAAAGGAAUUGACGGGGACCCGCACAAGCGGUGGAUGAUGUGGAUUAAUUCGAUGCAACGCGAAAAACCUUACCUACCCUUGACAUGUAUGGAAUUCUGCCGAGAGGUGGGAGUGCCCGAAAGGGAGCCAUAACACAGGUGCUGCAUGGCUGUCGUCAGCUC
rnacentral:rRNA from 1 species